rfam:Plasmodium gonderi DNA, contig: Chr08.
AAAAAUUUUAAUAGAAGGGCAGAUCCGCUGAAUAUCAAAAAUAAUUAAGCGGAAGAAAAGAAAAUAACAAUGAUUCCUUUAGUAAAAGAAUACAGUUAUACUGAAAAAGGAAAAGCUCAAGCGUAAAAUCCCUUAACAUAUGAGCGCAAGCCAUUUUAUGGGAAUUGUCGUGUUAUUUAAAAGUAACUUUUACCUUUUUUCCAGCAACGAGUAGAAGAAUGAACGAAGUGAGCAGGAAUGCUAAUCCCCAUAGAGGGUGAUAGGCCCGUAGUUCUACUUCUUAAGUUACAUGGAAAAUAUGUUACUUUUUUAGAGUCGUGUUCUUUGAAACUGGAGCACUAAUACGUGUGAUAAACAUUUUCACAUAAAGCUAAAUAUGUGUAGGAGACCGAUAGCAAACAAGUACCGUGAGGGAAAGAUGAAAUAGUACUCAGGAAUGAGCCAUUAAAUAGUACCUGAAAUCGUUAAGGUGGAACGGAUUAAGAAAGAAAAUCAGUAAAGCAUGAGUUGUGAUAAAUUGGGGCUCACAACUCUGUUUUAUUAAAAAAGAAUAUCAGUGAAAUAGGAUAAUAUGGCUAAAGCCAGGGUAAAAAUAUAUUUUUUAUUCUUAGAUUAAUUGUCUCUAAAUUUUUGAAUUUACGCGUUGACGAUAAUAAUGCUUUUUUGUCACAUACAUUAAAAAAAAAGAAUUAUCUUAUUUACUGAGGAAAAUAAAAAAAGUCUAAAUUUUAAAAAUUUUUACUUUUUAAGUUGUUCUUAAUAAUACUUUCUUAACCCAACCGUUUUGAAACACGGACCAAGGAAUAUAUCAAAUAUGCAAGUGUAUAUGAUAAUUUUAAACAUUAUAACUUUUUAUACGCGCAAUAUAUAAGAAAAUAUAAUUUUGUAGAAUUUGGAAGAAAGCAAUUUCUCUUGAACGCAUACAUUUACCGGGUAAGCAAAAUUAUGUGCUAAUUCGAGUAUGAGUAUAUUUGAUAUGACCCGAAGGGCUUUGAACUAGGCGUGAUGAGAUUGAAGUCAGUUGAAAGACUGAUGGAGGAUCGAAUUGAUAAUGAUUUUAUAAAUCAUUCAUUUCAAUUGCGUUUAGGGGUGAAAUACUAUACGAAAAGUCUAAUACCUGGUUAUUUUCGAAAGAUCUCUUAUGAUUGCUGGAGUUGUAAAAACGUAGUUUUCCAAAUAAAAAAUGUAUAUAUUUUAUAUACUAAUGACAUGAGAUGUGAAAAAAGUUUGUUUUAUGGAAGUGAUUUUUAUUUUCCUCUAAAACAACUUGUCUCAAUUUUCUGAAAUGUACAAUAGAGGAAAAGUUAUAUACUUUUUUUUUGUAUAAAGUAUAUACGUCAUUAUAUUUAUUUUUUUUUAUUUGUUUAAAAUAAUGAUAACUCCAAGUGGAACCAUUUCUGAUGAUCCGGAUAUGGCUAUGAGGGUUCAACCUAAAGCUUGGAUAAGGUGCCUAAAUAUUCGCUCAUGAGAUUCCAUAAAACAUAGGUGUUUGGUGCAUUAUAACAGCAGGACGGUAAUCAUUGAGGUCGAUAUCCGCUAAGGAGUGUGUAAUAACUCACCUGCCGAGUGACUGGCCCUGAAAAUGGAUGGCGCUAAAGCGAGUUACCGAUACCAAGCCGUAAAAAGGUAUAAAAAAAAGGAAUGAAUAAUUUUUUUUUUUUUAAAAUCUUUUUAUGAGUAGAAAAUCGUAGGGUUUUGUGUCGAAGCGAAAUACGUGAGUUUUCGUGGAACAUUUCCCUAGUGCAGAUCUUGGUGGAAGUAGAAAUUAUUCAAAUGAAAACUUUGAAGGCUGAAGUGGAGAAGGGUUUCUUGUCAACAGCAAUUGAACAAGAGUUAGCCGUUCCUAAGAGAUAACUGAAAAGUUCUUAUAUGGAGGGGCAUAUAGUGUAUAUAUAUAUACAUAUAUGUAUAUAUGUACGUAUGUGUGUAUGUAUAUAUGUACGUAUGUGUGUAUGUAUAUGUGUAUGUAUAUGUGUAUGUAUAUGUAUAUGUAUAUAUGUUUGUAUAUAUGUAUAUAUGUAUGUAUAUAUGUAUAUAUGUAUGUAUAUAUGUAUAUAUGUAUGUAUAUAUGUAUAUAUGUAUAUAUGUACGUAUAUGUGUAUGUAUAUAUGUAUGUAUAUGUGUAUGUAUAUAUGUAUGUAUAUGUGUAUGUAUAUAUGUAUGUAUAUGUGUAUGUAUAUAUGUAUGUAUAUGUGUAUGUAUAUAUGUAUGUAUAUGUGUAUGUAUAUAUGUAUGUAUAUAUGUAUGUAUAUGUGUAUGUAUAUAUGUACGUAUAUGUGUAUGUAUACAUGUACGUAUAUGUGUAUGUAUGUACAUUUUAUCCCCACCUACUCAAAAGGGAAACAGGUUUAUAUUCCUGUGCCAAAUUCAUGGUAUACAAUGUUCAGUAGUUUUUUUUGAGUUUAUUCAUAAAAAACGGAACGAAGUGGUAACAUAUAACAAAAUGAACUCCAUAACGUAGGUCUUUCAUUCGAAGUGCGUUUUCUUUGCACUUAACUUUCUAUAGUAAACCUCGGAGUAACAAUUUACUUGGAGAAGAGGUUUGCAGGAUAUUUCCAUUUUGAGAAAAUUUAUAAAUAGAGAUCUCGGUUUCUAUAUAUAAUUUUUUUUUGAUUUGUAAGAAAUAGUAAUUCUUUUUGAAUUAUUCGGAUCUGUAAGAACUACCCAUGAAAAAUGGAGGGAACAAAAAAUAAUUAUAUGAAAAAAAAAUUAGUGGAAAAAACAUACUAUUCCAGGUGAGUUUUUUCUACAUUUUCUUUUUUUUUUUUUCAUAUAUAUUAAAAUACCAUUUUUGAACGUACCAAUAACCGCAUGAGGUCUCCAAGGUUAAAAGCCUCUGGCUAAAUAGAACAAUGUGAGUAAGGGAAGUUAGACAAAAUGGAUCCGUAACUUCGGGAUAAGGAUAUGGCUCUGAUGAUAUUAAGUGAAGGAUAAUGGGAAAAGAAAUGAAUAGUAUAUAAUAAGAGGGGAGCGAGAAAAAAAAAAAAAAACAUAUUAAAAAUAUAAAUUAUAUUUUUAAUAUGUUUUUUUUUUUUUUUUUUUUUUUUUUUCUUUUUUGUUACUAUUCAUUUCUUUUCCCCAUUCUCCUCUUGUUCUUCGAAUUUAUGAUAAAUUCUUUGAUUUGAUGUUCCAGCGUCUUAAAUCAAAGAAUCCAUAUUGGAAAAAGGACCAAAUAAUGUCAAAUCAGAACUGAAACGGACAAGAGGAAUUUGACUGUUUUAAAGACAUAACAUUGUGAAAAUCCAGUAUCAGGAGAUGAUAUUUUUGGGAUUAACUUGACACAAUGUGAUUUCUGCCCAGUGUUUUUGAAUAACAAUUAGAAGCAAUUCAAUAAAUGCACAGGUAAAUGGCGGGAGUAGUUGCUAUGACUCUUAAAAUUGGCCAAAUGUGAUUCAUCAUUAAUUUUAUCAUCGAAUUUUUAUCAUGACUUUUUCUUUUUUUUUUUUUUUAAUACAUAUCCCAUUGUAGGUUUCAUUACCACGAUAUAUUAUAUCUGGUAAUAAAUUUAUGAUGAUAUAUGUAUGAAAAAAAAAAAAAGAAAAAGCCAUCAUAAGAAUGCGAUGACUAUGAUAAUAAUGAAGGACAUUUAGAGCAGAUUAACAUAUUCCUACUGUCCCUACUUGCAAUCUAUCGAAACCACAACCAAGUGAUAGUCUUGGUAAAAUCAGUUAGGUCACAGAUGACCCUAUUGAACUUGACUCUAGUUUGGCUUUGUAAACCGACUCCGAUUGUGUAGCAUAAGUGGGAGCGAAAUUCUGAAAGAUGUUUUCGUGCCAUUGAAAUACCACUCCAUCUUAAGUUGCUUUACUUUAUCCAUAAAUGUGACCUCUAAAUUGCAUUAUAUGGAGACAGAGCCAAGUGGGGAGUUAACUUACAGCGCUGUUGUAUUUUUUUUUUUUUUUUUUUCCCUUUACUUUUUUUUAUAUACUUAUAAAGAAUGUAAAGCAAAAAAAAAAAAAAAAAAAAAAAAUACACGAAAAAAAUUAACAAGCUCAAAGAGAACAGAAAUCUCUUGUAGACUUUGUAACAAAAGAAACGCUCGUUAAUGGUAACUGCUUUUUUUUUUUUAUGACAUUUUAAGGUAGUAUGUAUGGCCUGUAAUGAUCACCUACUUUUAUUUUUGCGAAAAAGACAUGGGGAAGGCAUGUAUAUAUGUACAUGCCUUUCCGAUAUAUGUGCAAAUAAGUGGUGAUAGUAAAAGAGUUAUGAUAGGGAUAACAAUCUUGCGGCUGCCGAGCAAUUUUAGCGACGUGGCUUUUUGAUUAUUUUAUUAUAUAGCAUUUCCUAUCAUUGAGAAGAAGAAAUCUCAAAGUGUCGGAUUGUUCACCGCUAAUAGGGAACGUGUGCUGAAUUUAGGACUUUCACGAGACAAGUCUAGUUUUAACCUACUGAUGAAAUUUUUGUUAAUUUAUUAACUAUAAUAGUAUUGUGAUGGUAAUCCAACUUAGUACGAGAGGAAUAGUUGGUUCAGACCUCUGGUCCUGCAAUUGAUUGACAAAUCAGUGUUGCUCAGCUACGUCUGUUGGAUAAUGGCUGAAUGCAUCUGAAGGCGGAAUCCAUGCCAAAUGUACAAUACUAUAGUGAACGAUAUGCUUUUUAACGGAUUUUACUAUCUAGUAAAAAAAAACGGGUAACAUUUACAAUUAUGCUUUUUGCAUAUAUAUAUAUAAUCCUUUCUACCGUAGGUAUUUCCUCAAUCACUUAUUGGAGAGAUUGUGCACUGUUUUUUUUAUGAGCUAUUUUGCGAUCUAUGGUAGAAGCAGCUAUGCUCAAGCUUUUCCAAACUGUAGAGUGACAUUGCGCUUCCUUUUGCAGUAUGGUAGGAUGAGCGGUUCGCUGUUAUACUUUCUUCUAUCCCUGUAUAUUUUGUAUAUACACGCAUAGUUGAAAGGGAAACACCGGGUUGUCCUUUUUUCCAUUUUGAGCGAUGGCACAAAAGGGAUAGUGUUACCUUCUCAUCAUAUUUGGAGGGGGGAGUAUUUACAAUAAUUCGUAAAAAAUGCAUAUCGUGGUAAAAACAAUCUGUAUACGACAGAUAUUCUUUCGAGUGCUGUAAACAUGGAAGUAAAACUUAGUUUUCCAGACUUGUUGAGGCUCCUCGUGAAUGGUAAGUUUUU